CCUACGGGUGGCAGCAGUGGGGAAUAUUGCGCAAUGGGCGAAAGCCUGACGCAGCGACGCCGCGUGAGGGAUGAAGGUCUUCGGAUCGUAAACCUCUGUCAGCAGGGAAGAACGGUCACUGUGCUAAUCAGCAGUGAAUUGACGGUACCUGCAAAGGAAGCACCGGCUAACUCCGUGCCAGCAGCUGCGGUAAUACGGAGGGUGCGAGCGUUAAUCGGAAUUACUGGGCGUAAAGCGCUCGUAGGCGGUAUGUCAAGUCAAGGGUGAAAUCCCCGCGCUCAACGUGGGAACUGCCUUUGAAACUGGCAAACUGGAGUGUGUGAGAGGAUAGUGGAAUUCCAGGUGUAGGAGUGAAAUGCGUAGAUAUCUGGAGGAACAUCAGUGGCGAAGGCGACUAUCUGGCACAUGACUGACGCUGAGGAGCGAAAGCGUGGGUAGCAAACAGGAUUAGAUACCCUUGUAGUC
rnacentral:rRNA from 1 species